ACAUAACACUGCUCUACAGCCAAAAUGCUUCUGAAAUAAAUGUAGUCAAACUUUACUAAUUCUGGGUCACUGAGAACGAAAAUGAUGCUUAAAAUUGUUGAUUGGCUCUAGUUUUCAAGAUAUACUAUCGGGUCAGUAUAUACGACCCUUGACUUGGGAAUGGCGGAGGAUAAGUGAGUUAUAAAGGGAAGGGAUCUCAAUUUAAACCAGAAAUGACUAAAAUACAUCUUUGACUGGAUCUAUGAAUAAAUCUAUGACUGGGUUUGGACAAUACUUGCUUUUUAGGCAAAACAAUGAAUGAUGCAAUCUGAAGCUGGUAUUGUGUCAUACAUGAUAUGAAUUGCAUCAUGUUAUUCCUAGAAGUCAUGGAUGAUGCAAUCAUAAUGAAGCUUAUAUCACUCUGCUGAACAAAUUGCCUUAUAUCAGCUCUAGAAAUCAUACAGUGUCGUGCUCUCUUAUUUGUCAGUGUUUGAUUUUGCCAAGGGACACAUUUCUGUUUAGCCAAAGUGAGCAGAGAUGCCUCGUACUUGUGUGAACAGUGCAGAUAACUUCUGCUAUGUUUGUGGUGAAGUGACUUUUUCAUCACAAAAGCGCAGUAUAACCACUAUGGUUAAGAAAGGCUAUCACCUUUAUUUUGGCUGCAAAAUUGGAGAUCAGGACAAGAGGUGGGCCCCACACAUAUGCUGCAACACUUGUGCAACAAAUCUUCGCCAGUGGUUGAACAGGAAAAGGAAAUCUAUGCCUUUUGCAGUGCCAAUGAUUUGGAGAGAGCCAACAGAUCAUACCAGCAAUUGUUACUUCGGCAUGGUGCCUCCAGUUGGGAAAGGUGUGUCAAAAAAGAAAAAGUGGACUAUGCAUUAUCCAAACAUUCCAUCAGCUAUACGCCCAGUACCCCACGGAGAAGGACUGCUGGUUCCUGAUGCACCAGAAUCAUUCUCACUUGAGUCAGACGGGGAAGAGGAAGAGCAUGAAACUUCUGGUCCUGAACCAUCAAUGUCACAGGACCCACAUUUUCUCCCAUCCUCCUCCUCUGAACCACAUCUCAUAACACAAGGUGAACUGAAUGACCUUGUCAGGGAUUUGGAACUACCCAAGAGUAAGGCAGAGCUGUUGGGCUCCAGACUACAGCAGUGGAAUCUCCUGGCAGGUGAUGUUAAGGUUUCCAUGUUCUGUGACCGUCAAAAGGAUCUUGUCCCAUUCUUCUUCAUGGAAGGUGAUCUUGUAGCCUGCAACAACAUCGAUGGUGUGAUGGCAACCCUCAACAUCGUUCAUGAUCCAGAUGAGUGGAGACUGUUCAUUGAUUCAUCAAAGAUGAGUCUUAAAGCUGUUUUACUGCAUAAUGGCAAUGUUUUGCCAUCAAUUCCAGUUGGUCAUGCAGUCCAUAUGAAGGAAACCUAUGACAACAUGAAACAACUUUUGAGGUGCAUAAACUAUGACCAACAUCAGUGGCAGCUCUGUGGUGAUUUGAAGGUUGUUGCUCUCUUGCUUGGUCUGCAGACUGGAUACACAAAGUACUGCUGUUUUCUCUGCGAAUGGGAUAGUCGUGCAAGAGAUU
ensembl:lncRNA